GACGAACGCUGGCGGCGUGCUUAACACAUGCAAGUCGAACGAAGUGGCGAACGGGUGAGUAACGCGUAAUCAACCUGCCCUUCAGAGGGGGACAACAGUUGGAAACGACUGCUAAUACCGCAUACUGAAGGAGGGGAUUGCGUCUGAUUAGCUAGUUGGAGGGGUAACGGCGCAUCAAGGCGAUGAUCAGUAGCCGGUCUGAGAGGAAGAACUGCCACAGUGGGACCGAGUGAAGUCCCAGGCUCCGACGGGAGGCAGCAGUGGGGAAUGUUCCGCAAUAGACGAAAGUCUGACGGAGCAACGACGCGUGAUGGAUGACGGUCUUCGGGUUGUAAAGCUCUGUUAAUCGGGACGCGGUACCGGAAUAGAAAGCCACGGCUAACUACGUGCCAGCAGCCGCGGUAAUAC
rnacentral:rRNA from 1 species